GGUUGCAUUGGUUUCUUUGAUGAGAUGAUGUGGUCGGCUCCUUAUGCUUGACUUCAUCCUGGUUGGCGUGCUUCCAUUGGUUGGAGUGGUGGUGAGGUGGCCAGCUGAUGUUGAUGUGGAUGCCGAGGUGGUGCUCCAAGGGUGUAAAAGUGGUGGUAGAAACAUGCAACAUGUCCUGACUUGGCUUGCUUUCUGACUUAUUGAGGCUUGCUUUCUGACUUAUUGAGGCUUGCUUUCUGACUUAUUGAAUUUAUUUACAGGACUCGAUCAAAGCCACAGUGAUCUUGAGUUAAUUGAUUGGAGUCUUUUCUGGAUUCUGGUGCCCGCACCAAAAUACAUCAUAAAUAAUUUUCUUAAGGAUGCAUAUUAGCACCUAAUCCAAGUUUAAGCAUUUUUUUAAAAAAAAUAUCUUGUCUAAAAUGUUUUGCAGCCAUGUGCAUUGCACGGGCAUUAUAACUGAUCCAAUUUAAAAAUCUGAAGAUCAUAAUGGCUUCUGAACAGAAAUUUAUUUAA
rnacentral:lncRNA from 1 species